GGGAGCCGGGUGGGUGCUGGCCCUGCUUCCGUGGGUUUCAGCUCUCGUUGGUGCUGGUGCUCGCGUGGGCCACGUCACCCUCCCUUCACCCUU
rfam:Equus caballus chromosome 13, whole genome shotgun sequence.